GACGAACGCUGGCGGCGUGCUUAACACAUGCAAGUCGAACGGAAAGGCGCUGCUUUUGUGGGGUGCUCGAGUGGCGAACGGGUGUGUAACACGUGAGUAACCUGCCCUUGACUUUGUGAUAACUUCAGGAAACUGGGGCUAAUACCGGCUAGGAGCUCCUGCUGCAUGGUGGGGGUUGGAAAGUUUCGGCGGUUGUGGAUGGACUCGCGGCUUAUCAGCUGGUUGGUGGGGUAGUGGCUUACGAAGGCUUUGACGGGUAGCCGGCCUGGGAGGGUGACCGGGCACAUGGGGACUGAGAUACGGCGCAGACUCCUACGGGAGGCAGCAGUGGGGAACAUUGCACAAUGGGGGGAAGCCUGAUGCAGCAAUGCCGCGAGCGGGAAGACGGCCUUCGUGUUGUAAACCGCUUUCGCCUGUGACGAAGCGUGAGUGACGGUAAUGGGUAAAGAAGCACCGGCUAACUACGUG
rnacentral:rRNA from 1 species